GAUGAACGCUGGCGGCGUGCCUAAUACAUGCAAGUCGAGCGAACAGACGAGGAGCUUACUCCUCUGACGUUAGCGGCGGAAGGGUGAGUAACACGUGGAUAACCUACCUAUAAGACUGGGAUAACUUCGGGAAACCGGAGCUAAUACCUGAUAACAUGUUGAACCGCAUGGUUCAACAGUGAAAGACGGUCUUGCUGUCACUUAUAGAUGGAUCCGCGUCGCAUUAGCUAGUUGGUAAGGUAACGGAUUACCAAGGGAACGAUGCGUAGCCGACCGGAGAGGGUGAUCGGCCACACUGGAACUGAGACACGCUCCAGACUCCUACGGGAGGCAGCAGUAGGGAAUCUUCCGCAAUGGGCGAAAGCCUGACGGAGCAACGCCGCGUGAGUGAAGAAGGUCCUCGGAUCGUAAAACUCUGUUAUUAGGGAAGAACAAAUGUGUAAGUAACUAUGCACGUCUUGACGGUACCUAAUCAGAAAGCCACGGCUAACUACGUG
rnacentral:rRNA from 1 species